CUACGGGCCGCUGCAGUGAGGAAUUUUGCGCAAUGGGGGAAACCCUGACGCAGCAACGCCGCGUGAGUGAAGAAGGCCUUUGGGUCGUAAAGCUCUGUCAACAGGGAAGAAGUUACAAUUGUUUAAUAGAUGAUUGUAUUGACGGUACCUGUGGAGGAAGCGCCGGCUAACUCCGUGCCAGCAGCCGCGGUAACACGGGGGGCGCAAGCGUUAUUCGGAAUUAUUGGGCGUAAAGGGCGCGCAGGCGGUCUUGUCCGUCAGGUGUGAAAGCUCGGGGCUCAACCCCGGAAGUGCACUUGAAACAGCAAGACUUGAAUACGGGAGAGGAAAGCGGAAUUCCUGGUGUAGAGGAGAAAUUCGUAGAUAUCAGGAGGAACACCGAUGGCGAAGGCAGCUUUCUGGACCGAUAUUGACGCUGAGGCGCGAAGGCGUGGGGAGCGAACGGGAUUAGAUACCCUGGUAGUC
rnacentral:rRNA from 1 species